rnacentral:rRNA from 1 species
GACGAACGCUGGCGGCGUGCUUAACACAUGCAAGUCGAACGGAGAUGUUAGUAAUAACAUCUUAGUGGCGGACGGGUGAGUAACGCGUGGGCAACUUGCCUCGGACUGGGGGAUAACACAGGGAAACUUGUGCUAAUACCGCAUAACAUGGUUGAAGGACAUCCUUCGAUCAUCAAAGGAGUAAUCCGGUUUGAGAUGGGCCCGCGUCCGAUUAGCUAGUUGGCGGUGUAAUGGACCACCAAGGCGACGAUCGGUAGCCGAACUGAGAGGUUGAUCGGCCACAUUGGGACUGAGACACGGCCCAGACUCCUACGGGAGGCAG